GCAAGUCGAACGGUAACAGCAGAGCUUGCUCCCGGAUUUAGCGGCGGACGGGUGAGUAAUGCCUAGGAAUCUGCCUGGUAGUGGGGGACAACGACUCGAAAGGGUCGCUAAUACCGCAUACGUCCUACGGGAGAAAGUGGGGGAUCUUCGGACCUCACGCUAUCAGAUGAGCCUAGGUCGGAUUAGCUAGUAGGUGAGGUAAUGGCUCACCUAGGCAACGAUCCGUAACUGGUCUGAGAGGAUGAUC
rnacentral:rRNA from 1 species